GACGAACGCUGGCGGCGUGCUUAACACAUGCAAGUCGAACGGAAAGGCCUGCUUUCCCUUGUGGAUUGCGGGUACUCGAGUGGCGAACGGGUGAGUAACACGUGAGUGAUCUGCCCCCAACUUGGGUAUAAGCCUGGGAAACUGGGUCUAAUUCCCGAUAGUACUGCAGGGUGGUGCCUGUGGUGGAAAACGAUUUUCUAGUGGUUGGGGAUGAGCUCGCGGCCUAUCAGCUUGUUGGUGGGGUAAUGGCCUACCAAGGCGGCGACGGGUAGCCGGCCUGAGAGGGUGGACGGCCACAUUGGGACUGAGAUACGGCCCAGACUCCUACGGGAGGCAGCAGUGGGGAAUAUUACACAAUGGGCGGAAGCCUGAUGCAGCGACGCCGCGUGGGGGAUGACGGCCUUCGGGUUGUAAACUCCUUUCGACCGCGAGGAAGCCACCUGGUUGGAAGGGUGGUGACGGUAGUGGUAGAAGAAGCACCGGCUAACUACGUG
rnacentral:rRNA from 1 species